AAAUUUUUCCCAAAAGUUAAAUGUUCCCUCCCCUCUCAUCAGAAACGUAACCCUGAACAACAUAAUCCCCCUCUCUCUCGUUCCAUUCUUCUUCAUCUCUCUCGCUCCAUUCUUCUUCAUCUCUCUCGCUCCAUUCUUCUUCUUCUCUGUCGAUCACGGUCACGCCUUUGCUGCUCAAGAGUCACGCCUCUAGCCUGCUACGAACGUUGUGCAUAACCACGGGUUCACGGGCUCCCAACCUCUACUUUCCUCUGCCUCGUUCGCUUCUUCGCUGACACAAGUCGCAGCUAAGUUGCUCUGGAUAAACAAAGGUUUAUGUUCUUAAAUCCCACACCAACUUGGUUGCCUCUGGACAACUUUCUCAGCAGUUGGAGGGGCUGCAUAUAUCUAUUGAAGAUUACUCUCUGUUUUUUACUCUUCAAUUUCUCAGUUUCCUAUGUUUAUUCUAU